rnacentral:rRNA from 1 species
GACGAACGCUGGCGGCGCGCCUAACACAUGCAAGUCGAGCGAGAACCGGGGCUUCGGCCCCGGGGACAGCGGCGAACGGGUGAGUAACACGUGGAUAACCUGCCCUCGGCACCGGAAUAGCCCGGGGAAACCCGGAUUAAUGCCGGAUGGCCCCACAUCCCUGCGGGGAACGUGGGAAAAGGUAGCUUCGGCCUCUGGCCGAGGAUGGGUCCGCGGUGGAUUAGCUUGUUGGUGGGGUAACGGCUCACCAAGGCGACGAUCCAUAGCUGGUCUGGGAGGACGAUCAGCAAGCCUGGGACAGAGACACGGCCCAGACUCCUACGGGAGGCAGCAGUGGGGAAUCUUGCGCAAUGGGCGAAAGCCUGACGCAGCGACGCCGCGUGCGGGAAGAAGGCCUUCGGGUUGUAAACCGCUUUCAGGAGGGACGAAGCCACUCGGGUGAACAGCCCAGAGGGUGACGGUACCUCCAGAAGAAGCCCCGGCUAACUACGUGCCAGCCGCCGCAGUAAGAC